AGUGAACGCUGGCGGUAGGCCUAACACAUGCAAGUCGAACGGCAGCACAGUAAGAGCUUGCUCUUACGGGUGGCGAGUGGCGGACGGGUGAGGAAUACAUCGGACUCUACUUUUUCGUGGGGGUUAACGUAGGGAAACUUACGCUAAUACCGCAUACGACCUACGGUUGAAAGCAGGGGAUCUUCGGACCUUGCGCGAUUGAAUGAGCCGAUGUCGGAUUAGCUAGUUGGCGGGGUAAAGGCCCACUAAGGCGACGAUCCGUAGCUGGUCUGAGAGGAGGAUCGGCCACACUGGAACGGAGACACGGUCAAGACUCCUAAGGGAGGCAGCAGUGGGGAAUAGUGGACAAUGGGGGCAAGCAUGAUCCAGCCAUACCGAGUGGGUGAAGAAGGCCUUCGGGUUGUAAAGACCUUUUGUUGGGAAAGAAAAGCAGCAGGUUAAGACCCCGCUGUUCUGACGGUACCCAAAGAAUAAGCACCGGCUAACUUCGUG
rnacentral:rRNA from 1 species